GUGAUCCACCCGCCUAGCCUAUCUUUUUCAAUACUUGUGUAAGUAUUGUUUUUUGAGAUAGAUGCUUAAGAAUGGAGUGCUGAGUCAAAGGGUGAGGAGACUGAAGUGAGACUCGGAGAAGUUAAAUGCAUAACUCACAUCACACAGGCAGCAGGUGGCAAAGCCAACAGGGCUCCUUUUGGGGCUCCACAUCACCCCCAUUACAAAGAAAACGAUGGUUCUGGCCGGGCGCGGUGGCUCACGCCUGUAAUCUCAGCACUUUGGGAAGCUGAGACGGGCGGAUCACAAGGUCAGGAGAUCGAGACCAUCCUGGCUAACACGGUGAAACCCCGUCUCUACUACAAAUACAAAAAAAUUAGCUGGGCAUGGUGGCGGGUGCCUGUAGUCCCAGCUACUCGGGAGGCUGAGGUAGAAGAAUGGCGUGAACCUGGGAGGCGGAGCUUGCAGUGAGCCGAGGAUCGCGCCACUGCACUCCAGCCUGGGCGACAGAGCGUGAGUCCGUCUAAAAAAAAAAAGAGAAAACACUGGUCCUGCCCAGCACGGUGGUGCCUGUAGUCCCAGCCACUCAGGAUGCUGAGGUGGGAGGAUCAUUUGAUCCCUGGAGUUCAAGACCAGCCUGGGCAACACAGCAAGACCCCAUUUCUAAGGAAAAGAAAAUGAAAACAUUGGUCCUGUCAAAACGAGUGCUCCACUUUCCACUUUGAUUUGACUCUUUCCCAUUCUUGUUUGCCCAG
rnacentral:lncRNA from 10 species